rnacentral:lncRNA from 7 species
AGAGACAUGGAGCUUGCUGUAUCUCAAAUGUGCCAUCAAAAGCUUUGGGGCCUUAUGCUGCCUGAAGAGGGAUUUAACUGACAGGCUCAAAACUAAACAAGCUUCAAAACACUGAAUCUUGGUCUGGGAGUCACUGCAUAUGACUUCUGCUGUUUCUGAGAUGCAUAUGCUGGGGACCAUCAGCAGAUCCCUGCAGGCAUCCAGGGCUGGAUAACACGUGAUAAUUGCUUCUGGAUGAUAAAUGGAGGGCUCACUGAUGGCUGGCCAGCCCUAGCAGUACAUUCCUGAGAUGGCAGGUGUUCUGAAGACUUCACAUCUCCCCCCAGCCCAGCAGUGCUUCCAUCUAGCUCCGCAGUCACGGUAUCAGGAAUGCCAGUGCUAUUUUUUGGAUGUGGACGGAGAAAAGAAUCUUGCAAAACCUGCAGCAUUUACUUUUGCAAAAGUACUUUGUAAUUGUGGAAGAAUAAACUGGGAGGAAAGAUAUAGUACAAGAAUAGUUUUGACUUAUGUAGACUGAGUCAGCAAGCAAACAAAAUAACGUAACUGAAGGAGAGGGGAGAAGAAAACAGAACAAAAGAGACAUAAAUUCAGCAUUUUGUCAAUGUAUCCUGAUCUACUCCACACUUUUACUCAUGUGAAAACAUCUUGAGUUUGAACCAGAAGUCUCAGAGAAUGGAGGCAAGAGUUGGCACCAGAGACCACAAUGGAUUCUAAUUCUUCUAGAAAUUGUUGAUUUGGUAUUUGGAAAAAUUUUUAUGGUGUGUCACAGGAAAAUAUUGUCCAAACUACAAGAAUCUUGUUUGAAAUACUUAUUCACAUUCAAUUUAAGUGUAUUUUUUUUUAAUCUGCAUUUUUUGUUUAUGCUGACGAUACUAGAUGGCACAGAAGUGUACUUCCCAUGCCACAGCCAGUAUCUAUAUGCUUAAAAAGUCUUAGUGAGGGGAAGAGGAUAUGAAUUGUGCAAUGCUGGGCUUUCAUCUUAUGGCAAAAGCAUAAAAAACAAUUUAAGCAUGUCUUCUGUCAAGUCAUGCGGGACAGAUUAUUUGCAUUGGAAACUUUAUUUGUCGGUGAGAAAGUAUUUCUCUGAAUUUCCUUGAAUUACCUGGCUAAUACAUUCUUUUCUCAUGCAGCCACUGAUCUGGAAGGCUUUCUGGCUGAAGAGCUCUUAAACGUUUUCUAUUUCACCAGUACAUCCGUUAGCUUUUCAGCUUGGUUAUUCCUACAUUUGCAAUUAAUCCUUGCUCUUGUUAAAGACUGUUAUCAGAAUCCAUCAAAAAAUUACUGCAGAUGUUUGCCCUUAGCUAGGAAAUAUUACAGCUCUACUCUAUUAUGAGAAAGCACUGUAAAAGCUGACUGUUCUUUGUUAAGUAAAUACAAUAAGCAGAAUAAAAGAUUGCCUGAAGAAAACCUUUCUCUGUCCAGAAACCUUUCAGCCCAGACUAAUAUAUAAUUAGAGCACAAAUUAGCCUCCUUGAAUUGCAAUUUCAUUAAGAGAUUGUAAUGAUGUCACGAACCAAAAGAAUGAAGCUAUGAAUGCUUUAGCCAAAAGAUUUUCCUAAGUGAAUACUUUGACACUUUUUGCUAAGGCUUUGCUCCCUGAGAAAUGCAGUAUCUCUGUAAGAUGCUGUCUUGGUGCAUGUUAGACUGUUGAGUUGUGAUCAGGAUUAAGGCUGUUAUUCUCUCUGUAGCUUCUUAACCAGUUUCUGUCACUGAAAUUAGAAGAACAUAUGAAAUCUUUGAUAAGAAGAACACUUCAGAUAGACUUAGGACCAGAGAAGUACCUAACUUCAGCAUCAGCAAUGCUGAUGUCUGGAUAUCAAUAUGCAGUGAACUGAAGUGUAUUCUUAAGGUAUUUUUUUUUGUUUGUUUCUGCUUAGCACCUAUCCCCAAAGACUUUGCUUGUGCCUUCACUUUCUGUGGCAAAGAUCUUAGACAGCAAAAUUUACUGCGCUCCUAGAGCAGCAAUGGAUGGGUUCAUGUCAACGAAGCUCAGGCAGGCUCUAAUAACAAGAUAUCUUUCAAUCAAUACAGACAAUAAAAAUUAGAAUUUAAUAUGUCAAUCCAUUGGUUGAACAAUGGAAGAUUUAGUGUGUGUCUGGAAGGAGGAGGAGAAAAACCUCAGUAUGCACACAGCAAAGGUGAAUUAUGGAGCCUGUGGAGGUGGGAAAGAUAGAUGACAGGAUAAUUAAAAGUAGGUGUUUACAGGGAAUUAAUCUGGUUAGAUAUAUAUCUACCACAAUGAUGGUGUACUUCCAUCUUUUGCAUGUUAUUGCCUACCAUAUAUGCAUUACAGGACACUGCUUUAGCUUUAUUGUCAAUGGUGUGAAAUUUGGUAUUAUCUUUGUUUAACAUUUUAGAACAAUAUUAACUAAAUUGUGUAUUCACCCUUUACAAUCUGUAUAUAUUUUAAUGUGCGUCACUAUUAGUCUGUGCCAAUUUGAUGAAAUAUUAUGAAUAAAAAUAAAGGGUAUCUUUCUUUGG